rnacentral:rRNA from 1 species
AUGAACGCUAGCUACAGGCUUAACACAUGCAAGUCGAGGGGCAGCAUUUCAGUUUGCUUGCAAACUGGAGAUGGCGACCGGCGCACGGGUGAGUAACACGUAUCCAACCUGCCGAUAACUCGGGGAUAGCCUUUCGAAAGAAAGAUUAAUACCCGAUGGUAUAAUCAGACCGCAUGGUCUUGUUAUUAAAGAAUUUCGGUUAUCGAUGGGGAUGCGUUCCAUUAGGCAGUUGGUGAGGUAACGGCUCACCAAACCUUCGAUGGAUAGGGGUUCUGAGAGGAAGGUCCCCCACAUUGGAACUGAGACACGGUCCAAACUCCUACGGGAGGCAGCAGUGAGGAAUAUUGGUCAAUGGGCGCAGGCCUGAACCAGCCAAGUAGCGUGAAGGAUGACUGCCCUAUGGGUUGUAAACUUCUUUUAUAUGGGAAUAAAGUUUUCCACGUGUGGAAUUUUGUAUGUACCAUAUGAAUAAGGAUCGGCUAACUCCGUGCCAGCAGCCGCGGUAAUACGGAGGAUCCGAGCGUUAUCCGGAUUUAUUGGGUUUAAAGGGAGCGUAGGUGGACAGUUAAGUCAGUUGUGAAAGUUUGCGGCUCAACCGUAAAAUUGCAGUUGAUACUGGCUGUCUUGAGUACAGUAGAGGUGGGCGGAAUUCGUGGUGUAGCGGUGAAAUGCUUAGAUAUCACGAAGAACUCCGAUUGCGAAGGCAGCUCACUGGACUGCAACUGACACUGAUGCUCGAAAGUGUGGGUAUCAAACAGGAUUAGAUACCCUGGUAGUCCACACAGUAAACGAUGAAUACUCGCUGUUUGCGAUAUACAGUAAGCGGCCAAGCGAAAGCAUUAAGUAUUCCACCUGGGGAGUACGCCGGCAACGGUGAAACUCAAAGGAAUUGACGGGGGCCCGCACAAGCGGAGGAACAUGUGGUUUAAUUCUAUGAUACGCGAGGAACCUUACCCGGGCUUAAAUUGCAUUUGAAUAUAUUGGAAACAGUAUAGCCGUAAGGCAAAUGUGAAGGUGCUGCAUGGUUGUCGUCAGCUCGUGCCGUGAGGUGUCGGCUUAAGUGCCAUAACGAGCGCAACCCUUAUCUUUAGUUACUAACAGGUCAUGCUGAGGACUCUAGAGAGACUGCCGUCGUAAGAUGUGAGGAAGGUGGGGAUGACGUCAAAUCAGCACGGCCCUUACGUCCGGGGCUACACACGUGUUACAAUGGGGGGUACAGAAGGCAGCUACCUGGUGACAGGAUGCUAAUCCCAAAAGCCUCUCUCAGUUCGGAUCGAAGUCUGCAACCCGACUUCGUGAAGCUGGAUUCGCUAGUAAUCGCGCAUCAGCCAUGGCGCGGUGAAUACGUUCCCGGGCCUUGUACACACCGCCCGUCAAGCCAUGAAAGCCGGGGGUACCUGAAGUACGUAACCGCAAGGAGCGUCCUAGGGUAAAACUGGUAAUUGGGGCU